rnacentral:tRNA from 1 species
GCCCUAGUAGCUUAAUUCAAAGCAUCGGUCUUGUAAUCCGAAGAUUGGAGGUUAAAUCCCCCCCUAGUGCC